ACAGAAUCAGAGCAGAACAGCCCCGGCAUCACGGCAGAGCUAACAGACGACAGAUUCAGAGCCGGGGCUGGUCUAUUACAUCCCAGAGCCCCACACUGUACCAGGAGUCCUUCCAGAGAAGAUGACUCAGUCUGUCCCGGCACCAAAUUAAUGACUUACAAUCAACCUGGAUCUUUCAAGGAGUGGAAGAGGCAACUCAGGACUAAGUGAAGGGAAGUGGGGUUUCCAGGAUUGGCAGAGGAAGGUCCAUUCUUUGUGCACUUCAGCUUUCCUGAUUCUGAAACAAGAUAACGAUCGUAGUGUCUACUGCAGAGGACUCUGGAGUGAAACUGGGGUGACUUCAAUAAUACUGAAAGGCUUGACUAAAAGGUGAGCUCAUGGAAUAAUAAUAUGAAUAACCAAUAUUAACCUCCUCUUCAUAAAU
ensembl:lncRNA